UUUCCGUAGGUGAACCUGCGGAAGGAUCAUUGUCGAAACCUGCCCAGCAGAACGACCCGCGAACUUGUAUAAACAACUGGGGGCGGGGGGCGUUCUCGCCCCGUGCCCCCGAACGGCGGGGAGACACUCGUGCCUUCUUGCCGAACAACGAACCCCGGCGCGGUCGGCGCCAAGGAACUUCAACUAAAGAGUGCCUCCGGUCGCCUCGGAAACGGCGUGCGUGCCGGAGGCGAAUCUUGUGCAAAACCAUAACGACUCUCGGCAACGGAUAUCUCGGCUCUC
rnacentral:misc_RNA from 1 species